rnacentral:rRNA from 1 species
UCGGGAAUAUUGCGCAAUGGAGGAAACUCUGACGCAGUGACGCCGCGUGCAGGAAGAAGGUUUUCGGAUUGUAAACUGCUUUAGACAGGGAAGAAAAAAGACAGUACCUGUAGAAUAAGCUCCGGCUAACUACGUGCCAGCAGCCGCGGUAAUACGUAGGGAGCAAGCGUUAUCCGGAUUUAUUGGGUGUAAAGGGUGCGUAGACGGAGAAGCAAGUUAGUUGUGAAAUCCCUCGGCUUAACCGAGGAACUGCAACUAAAACUACUUCCCUUGAGUGCUGGAGAGGAAAGUGGAAUUCCUAGU